rnacentral:tmRNA from 1 species
CCCCUUUGCAAGCCGGCAAAAGCCGCCUAUAUUCGAAGUGUUCCCAAGGGGACUAUGGACAUAAACGCGCUCGUAAUAAGCGGAUCGGACCCGGGGGCGGUACCCGGCGGCUCCACCAAACAUCCCGUCGUUGGGGGAUCAUGGGGCCGAAACAGGAUCGACGAACGUCUAAAGGGGUUAGCUUUGUCCCGGUGAGAUACCACCGUUAUCGGUUCACUAAGCAUAAUUGCCAACGACAAUCGUGCUCCGGCAAUGGCUGUUGCAGCGUAAGCUGUUCCAGUUGCCGAAACUUAAGCCCUUGCGCCUAGCCGCGUAAGGCGGGGUCCGCAGGCACCUGGCAACAGAAGCCUGCACU